rnacentral:tRNA from 1 species
GCCCCAGUAGCUCAGAUGGAUAGAGCAACGGUUUCCUAAACCGUAGGCCACCUGUUCGAGUCAGGUCUGGGGCA